GGUAAAGUGGCCGAGUUUAGGCAGUAAAUUGUAAAUUUACUUACGGGUUUCCCUUUAUCA
rnacentral:tRNA from 1 species